CAAUUUUUCCUGUGGGUGGUAGUAUUUAGAAAGUGUCCUGCCUUGCCUGCUUUUUUCAGAUUGCUAUCACCCUCCCCUGAUGGGAUUAUGAGCUUGGCUUCUCAGAGGCACUGCCUGCUCCAGCUGGCUCACACAGGGAGUAGCAGUGAGAAAACAGGAUGGGGGGUGACUGUAGCUGCACUUGCAAUCUUCAUCUGGGGGAGGGGACUGAAGGCAAGAUAUGAGAACAGCAUAAAAAAGUCAUAAUUCUCACCCCCAUUGGAAUUCCUUUAAAUACAUGAAGGAAAUGACCAUGGAGCAGACAACAGUCAUGCUUUUCUGACUCAUUGUCAUGUUUUCGGCCAGCAUACCCCUUUGGUCUCCUCACUGCCUGCUGUCCCUAUCUAUUUCUGCAGAAAGCUAUCACAAGAAUUGCCCUCUUUAAAAGUAUAAUUAGGGAAUUAGUGCUGCAACACGUGAAUUUUGAAAAUACACUAAAAUCCCUCAGGUCUCUCAUUUUUGAAAAAUAAAAGCAAUAAGACUGAAGUUAAUUAAGACCUGGAUGAUUGAGGUGCUCUCAUGAGCACUUUGGUUCUUUAAGAUUUUGCUCCUCUCCCUUGAAUGGUUCUUAUCGCAGGGUUGCCUUUAGAGGAGGGUAAAGUACAGUCUGAUCCCACAACGCAUGGCUAACUGGCUUGCAUCUCUCCCUGACUCCUAAAGAAGGAAGACCCACAGAGGAGAAAUGUUCUGAAUGUCAGUGGGAUCCACAGAAGAGCAGGUACAUCUGGAGGAGUGGCCCCUGAGGAAUAAGCUGCUCACAGCCAGCUCGAAUCACCACUGAAGUCUUGAAUAAGCAUCUACUAGGAGUUUGACUUAGAAGUGAGACAGAAACAAGAAGAGGAAAAUAUCCGCUCACUGUGGGUGGGGAGAAAAGAGACCUUUCAGGAGGUACCCUGAACAAUGGGCCCAAACCAGGCACAUAUCCUACAUGAUGCCAUGGGUACCUGAUGGAGGAGCACAGGUUUAGUACUUCAUGUUGGGAAUACUGCAGGGAACACAACUGUCAACAAAACAGAUCAAAGAUGAUGGCUGCCAUGGAGCAAAACAAUGUGAAGGUGGAAUGUCAUGAAGGCCUCUUCUACUAGUAACCUGGACAUGGUGAUGCCAAGCUGGUCACCUUAAACCAGGAACAACUAAACAUAUGAUUAAGUCUGGGGAUGUCUUUCAUUGCUUUUCUGUAUAAGAGGCUGAAAUGUCUUACAUUUAGAUAUUGCACUCAAGAAGGAUGAGAGAAGAAAUAUAAUUUUUUUAUUAAAAAUCAGCUGCAUAUUUUUUCUACAUGUAUGGAAAUACAACUGAAAACUUUCUGUAAAUUCUUUUGUUGCUAUUGUUGAUUGACAAAAUCCUUAUUUGUGUUACUGUCAGAUAUUUAUGAGAAAAGCUAAUACUAAAGAGGGAUAAAAAAAAAUAGAUGGACACACAACGAGGAUGUUUGGUAGUUUGUUGGAGAUAUACUAUGUGGCCACGCAUUCUAAAAUGGCCAGUUUCUGUUCACAAAAGCUAGUAAAACUCCCACUGUCAGAACUCUGUAAUGAUUUCAGUAUUGUGGCAUACCUGAAAAUGAUUAAGCAGCACAUUUUUUUUCUGUUCUUUUUUUUUAAAAGACAUACUGAAACUGAAACAAAUUUCCCUACACUGAAAGUUGUUAUUGAAAUGUAUAACUUCUCAAACAUAACAGUUUUAAAAUGUAUAUUUAUCUUUAUGUGGAAGAACAAAGAAACACAAAGACAAUUGAUCUUUUAAAGACAAGAGAAAGGAGGAGAGAAAAUGAAGGGGAAGUGAUUUUAUUUCCUAAGUAACCUGUCUUGACUUGCUGUAUGCCUUUCAAAUCUACUUUACUCAUCUAAACCUGUACUGAUUGAAGUUAGUGACUGUAAUAAUGGUGACAUCACUGUUUUGUUUACACUGAAAUGUCUUUUGAGGGCAUCACAACAGAGAUGGUUUAAGGACAGGUAUUGAUUAUGCCUCAUCUUUGGAAUUUGGUAAUUAUCAUGGUGCACCUCAAACAUGCUGCACUUGUCCUCUAGUCUGUUUUUUUUCUGAGCUUUAGAUUAUUAUCUCUUCAGGCCUGUGAUUAUUUCUUCAUAAGCAUUUAAAAACCAUGUAGAACAAUAAAUCUUCUGCAAAGAUACAAGAAUAACUCUGCUCCUUGACCAUAUUAAUAUACAAUAAAUAUUUAGUCACAAUUUUU